GGUGAACGCUGGCGGCGUGCCUAAUACAUGCAAGUCGAGCGAACAGACGAGGAGCUUGCUCCUCUGACGUUAGCGGCGGACGGGUGAGUAACACGUGGAUAACCUACCUAUAAGACUGGGAUAACUUCGGGAAACCGGAGCUAAUACCGGAUAAUAUAUUGAACCGCAUGGUUCAAUAGUGAAAGACGGUUUUGCUGUCACUUAUAGAUGGAUCCGCGCCGCAUUAGCUAGUUGGUAAGGUAACGGCUUACCAAGGCAACGAUGCGUAGCCGACCUGAGAGGGUGAUCGGCCACACUGGAACUGAGACACGGUCCAGACUCCUACGGGGGGCAGCAGUAGGGAAUCUUCCGCAAUGGGCGAAAGCCUGACGGAGCAACGCCGCGUGAGUGAUGAAGGUCUUCGGAUCGUAAAACUCUGUUAUUAGGGAAGAACAAAUGUGUAAGUAACUAUGCACGUCUUGACGGUACCUAAUCAGAAAGCCACGGCUAACUACGUG
rnacentral:rRNA from 1 species